AUACGUAGGGGACGAGCGUUGUCCGGAAUUACUGGGCGUAAAGGGCGCGCAGGCGGAUAUUUAAGUCAGCUGUAAAAGGCAUGAGCUCAACUCAUGUAUGCGGUUGAAACUGGGUAUCUAGAGUGCUGGAGAGGUAGGCGGAAUUCCCGGCGUAGCGGUGAAAUGCGUAGAUAUAGGGAAGAACACCAGUGGCGAAGGCGGAUUAGUGGCCAGCAACGGACGCUGAGGCGCGAAAGCCAGGGGAGCGGACGGGAUUAGAUGCCCCGGGAGUCCUGGCCGUAAACGAUGAAUGCUAGGUGUGGGUGUCGAGAGGCAUCCGUGCCGGAGUUAACGCGAUAAGCAUUCCGCCUGGGGAGUACGAUCGCAAGAUUGAAACUUAAAGGAAUUGACGGGG
rnacentral:rRNA from 1 species